CAAAUUUGAAGAAUUUGUCCGUGGAUUUCGAAGUCAAACCCUCCCUCAAGGUAUGGCGGCUUUCCAACCCAAUAAACCAACGAUGAAGGAGGAUGGCGAAGACGGGAUGGUGGGAGAAGGCUGCGAAGAAGAUUAGAGAGGAGGAUGCAGCCAAGCUAAAGAAGAAGAAGGAAGAGGAGCUUGAGAAGGAGAGGAAGGCAAAACAGAGAGCGUCAAAUGCGAUGCGCGCUAGGGAGCAAGUGUUGAUGAGGAAAUGUGAGGAGGCACAGAAGAAGCGUCAACAGGAUUUUGAAGAAAGAACCAUGAAGCUUUGGGCAAUUGCAGCUGAAAAAGAAGAGAGGGACAAUCAGAUAUUCAUGGAGAGGGUGGUUAAGGAGGCUCACCUCAUAAAAAAAAAGGAGGAGGAAGAGGAAGAAGAGAGGAAGAAGAAGAAGGGAAAGGGGCCUUGCUCUACGCAAUAGAGCUAUGUCGUCCUCUUCGAUUUGGUUGUGAACUACUAUGUGCCAUGAACUACUAUGUCUCCUCCUCGAUUUGGUUGUGAACUACUAUAUGCCGUGAACUACUAUGUCUCCUCCUCGAUUUGGUUGUAAGAACUACUAUGUGUCGUUGAUUACUAUGUCUCCUCCUCGAUUUGGUUGUAAGAACUACUAUGUGUCGUGAAGUACUAUGUGUUAUGAACUACUAUGUGUCGUGAAGUACUUCGUGCAUAUGUUCUUUUCA